AACGAACGCUGGCGGCAUGCCUAACACAUGCAAGUCGAACGGGAGCAUCGGGACUGGUGGCGCACGGGGGCGUAACGCGUGGGAAGGUGCACUUAGGUUUGGGAUACCACCCCGAAGGGGGUGCUAAUACCGGAAAAUGUACUCGGACAAAAGAUUUAUCGCCUUUGGAUGGGCACGCGUUGCUUUCGCUUGUUGGGAGGGUAAGAGCCUACCACGGCGACGAUCCAUAGCUGGGCUGUGAGGAUGAUCCGCCACACUGGGACUGAGCCGCGGCCCAGACUCUUACGGGAGGCAGCAGUGGGUAAUAUUGGACUACGGGCUAAGGCCUGAUCCAGCUAUGCCUCUUGAGUGCUUAUGUCCUUAGGGUUGUAAAGCUCUUUUACCCGGGACUAUAAUGACGGUACCGGGAGAAUAAGCUCCGGCUAACUCCGUG
rnacentral:rRNA from 1 species